rnacentral:lncRNA from 1 species
CCUUCCCUUCCGCUGCUGAGGCUUCCGGAACCCCGUCCGUGCGGACCAAGCUGAGGUCUUCGGCGAGAGUCGGCUGGCGAAGUAGAAGCUCCGGUAGCGAGGCGGCAGCGGGGGUCAGUCAGGCUGCGACGGGGGUGCCUGAUACCCACUGAGCCCACCCGCUCCUGGCACCAGGAGCUUGCCGUGCGAGGUGGCUCGAGUCCGGAGAAAGCAAGUGAAGCUGUGAGGAGUUGGAGGCUUCCAGGGCAAAGCCUCAGGCACCUCCAUGAUCUCGGGCUCCAGCCGCCCUUCCUAGCCCACCACCAAGCCGACCCCAACUACCUUUGCAGCAUGCUCGGCCGCCUCAUGAUCGUCCAAGUGAGAGAAAUCCAAAGAGUUAUCACCCUGUCUUUGGAGUCCAAUUCUGAAGUCCAUCAACAGUGCACCCUCAGGAUUUUAGGUUGAUGCUGUGAAGCCAUUUGGCUUGUUUGAAGAUUUCCUGGUUGUUGGUCUCCACUUGCCUGGCAUUGUUGUUCCAUGUACAACAAGUUGUGUUGACAACAGAUCAGAUGCCUCCUUCUUCUGCCAUAAGGUAGUCUAAAACUAACCAUAUGUCCAUAGUUAUUGCUGUGAGGAAAUUGAGAAUGGUGUUUAGUCCUUGCAGGUCUUGCCCUAUUUCUUGACCUAUGGCUUCAAGGGUGGC